rnacentral:rRNA from 1 species
CCCCAAGAUAAGAUUUCCCUAGGACGUUAUGUCCUCUAAAGAGCUGUUGAAGACUACGACGUUGAUAGGUUGGAUGUGGAAGUGCGGUGACGCAUGAAGCUGACCAAUACUAAUUGCUCGUGAGGCUUGACUAUACAACACCCCAGCAGUUG